UACGUAGGGUGCAAGCGUUGUCCGGAAUUAUUGGGCGUAAAGAGCUCGUAGGCGGUCUGUCGCGUCGGCUGUGAAAACCCGGAGCUCAACUUCGGGCUUGCAGGCGAUACGGGCAGACUUGAGUGUUUCAGGGGAGACUGGAAUUCCUGGUGUAGCGGUGAAAUGCGCAGAUAUCAGGAGGAACACCGGUGGCGAAGGCGGUUCUCUGGGCAUUGCCUGACGCUGAAGAGCGAAAGUGUGGGGAGCGAACAGG
rnacentral:rRNA from 1 species